UUCUUGCAAACGUGUGUGUGUGUGUGUGUGUGUACACACACACACACACACACACACACACAUCCUUGUAGAACU